UACCGACUGGAUGAGCAGCGAACGGGUGAGUAACGCGUGGGGAAUCUGCCUUUGAGCGGGGGACAACAUUUGGAAACGAAUGCUAAUACCGCAUAAAAACUUUAAACACAAGUUUUAAGUUUGAAAGAUGCAAUUGCAUCACUCAAAGAUGAUCCCGCGUUGUAUUAGCUAGUUGGUGAGGUAAAGGCUCACCAAGGCGAUGAUACAUAGCCGACCUGAGAGGGUGAUCGGCCACAUUGGGACUGAGACACGGCCCAAACUCCUACGGGAGGCAGCAGUAGGGAAUCUUCGGCAAUGGACGAAAGUCUGACCGAGCAACGCCGCGUGAGUGAAGAAGGUUUUCGGAUCGUAAAACUCUGUUGGUAGAGAAGAACGUUGGUGAGAGUGGAAAGCUCAUCAAGUGACGGUAACUACCCAGAAAGGGACGGCUAACUACGUGCCAGCAGCCGCGGUAAUACGUAGGUCCCGAGCGUUGUCCGGAUUUAUUGGGCGUAAAGCGAGCGCAGGUGGUUUAUUAAGUCUGGUGUAAAAGGCAGUGGCUCAACCAUUGUAUGCAUUGGAAACUGGUAGACUUGAGUGCAGGAGAGGAGAGUGGAAUUCCAUGUGUAGCGGUGAAAUGCGUAGAUAUAUGGAGGAACACCGGUGGCGAAAGCGGCUCUCUGGCCUGUAACUGACACUGAGGCUCGAAAGCGUGGGGAGCAAACAGGAUUAGAUACCCUGGUAGUCCACGCCGUAAACGAUGAGUGCUAGAUGUAGGGAGCUAUAAGUUCUCUGUAUCGCAGCUAACGCAAUAAGCACUCCGCCUGGGGAGUACGACCGCAAGGUUGAAACUCAAAGGAAUUGACGGGGGCCCGCACAAGCGGUGGAGCAUGUGGUUUAAUUCGAAGCAACGCGAAGAACCUUACCAGGUCUUGACAUACUCGUGCUAUUCCUAGAGAUAGGAAGUUCCUUCGGGACACGGGAUACAGGUGGUGCAUGGUUGUCGUCAGCUCGUGUCGUGAAUUGGUUAAGUCCCGCAACGAGCGCAACCCCUAUUGUUAGUUGCCAUCAUUAAGUUGGGCACUCUAACGAGACUGCCGGUGAUAAACCGGAGGAAGGUGGGGAUGACGUCAAAUCAUCAUGCCCCUUAUGACCUGGGCUACACACGUGCUACAAUGGAUGGUACAACGAGUCGCGAGACAGUGAUGUUUAGCUAAUCUCUUAAAACCAUUCUCAGUUCGGAUUGUAGGCUGCAACUCGCCUACAUGAAGUCGGAAUCGCUAGUAAUCGCGGAUCAGCACGCCGCGGUGAAUACGUUCCCGGGCCUUGUACACACCGCCCGUCACACCACGGGAGUUGGGAGUACCCGAAGUAGGUUGCCUAACCGCA
rnacentral:rRNA from 1 species